CUUUCGAACGCACGGUUCUGCCUAGACCCUCUUAGGUAGCCCCAGCAACUGGUGAACCACCACAAAACUCCUCUGGUAAAUAUAGAAAUCUUUCACUAACUAAGAGAAGCCAUGUUUCACGCACAGGUCAAUCUGGCAACCGGAGAUGGAAGUUGAAGCACUUUCCUGACCAGUUUCUGGUUUUGUUGAUCCGUUUGCUAUCACCUUCAUCUGUUGAGCCACACUGGAAAAGUGUUCAUGGUGACUCAGCUGAUUAUCCACAAACUGGUCAAGAACUCGCCAAUCCAUAACAUGGUCCAUAGAUUGAUCAUUACUAGCAUAAUGAAACUGUCGAUGUUCUUGGGUGAGUGACGAACACUGCAAUGCAUUUCCAUUGUUCUUGCCACCAUAAGAGACAACUGGGAUAAAACUCAAACCAGUCACAGAUUGAGGAACCACGGGACUGUGAAGUUGUGGAAGUUGGAGGAAAGCGUCGUGAGGAAUAUUGAAUUGCAAUUCCAACUCCUUCUUGCAUGGGUAAGGGUGACGAUUUGGUGCAUUAGGGUUAGACAUUGGCAUUGGAGAUUCCAGUUCUUGCAUGAACGAGACUUGGUCAUCAUACCAACAUGGCGACACGUAAUCCCCCAUUUUCCUCGCAGUUGUCGUCCGCUUUUUGAACACUCUACACACAACCCACCCUUCUUCCUGGAAACCAUUUACAGAAAUUAAGAACACUAAACAAUCUGGUUAUUUCAUUUCAUUGUCUUUUUCAAUCAGAGAUGAAGAGAGGAAUUGUUACAGAAAUUAAAAGAAGGAAAAUGAAUUAAUUACCUGAGGAGUUCCAUUUUCAUUGGUUUGUAGCCGAUACUCAUGCAUGAUCCAGUCAGAUUUUUGUCCAUUGGGUGCUCUUCCUCUGUAAAACACAAGAGUCUUUCUCAUUCCAGUAAGAAAAUGUUUACAGUAAA